GAUGAACGCUGGCGGCGUGCCUAAUACAUGCAAGUCGAGCGAAUGGAUUAAGAGCUUGCUCUUAUGAAGUUAGCGGCGGACGGGUGAGUAACACGUGGGUAACCUGCCCAUAAGACUGGGAUAACUCCGGGAAACCGGGGCUAAUACCGGCUAACAUUUUGAGCCGCAUGGUUCGAAAUUGAAAGGCGGCUUCGGCUGUCACUUAUGGAUGGACCCGCGUCGCAUUAGCUAGUUGGUGAGGUAACGGCUCACCAAGGCAACGAUACGUAGCCGACCUGAGAGGGUGAUCGGCCACACUGGGACUGAGACACGGCCCAGACUCCUACGGGAGGCAGCAGUAGGGAAUCUUCCGCAAUGGACGAAAGUCUGACGGAGCAACGCCGCGUGAGUGAUGAAGGCUUUCGGGUCGUAAAACUCUGUUGUUAGGGAAGAACAAGUGCUAGUUGAAUAAGCUGGCACCUUGACGGUACCUAACCAGAAAGCCACGGCUAACUACGUGCCAGCCGCCGCAGUAA
rnacentral:rRNA from 1 species